rnacentral:rRNA from 2 species
UGGAGCUGAAAUCAGUCGAAGAUACCAGCUGGCUGCAACUGUUUAUUAAAAACACAGCACUGUGCAAACACGAAAGUGGACGUAUACGGUGUGACGCCUGCCCGGUGCCGGAAGGUUAAUUGAUGGGGUUAUCCGUAAGGAGAAGCUCUUGAUCGAAGCCCCGGUAAACGGCGGCCGUAACUAUAACGGUCCUAAGGUAGCGAAAUUCCUUGUCGGGUAAGUUCCGACCUGCACGAAUGGCGUAAUGAUGGCCAGGCUGUCUCCACCCGAGACUCAGUGAAAUUGAACUCGCUGUGAAGAUGCAGUGUACCCGCGGCAAGACGGAAAGACCCCGUGAACCUUUACUAUAGCUUGACACUGAACACUGGUCCUUGAUGUGUAGGAUAGGUGGGAGGCUUUGAAGUGUGGACGCCAGUCUGCAUGGAGCCAUCCUUGAAAUACCACCCUUUAAUGGCUGGUGUUCUAACGUGGGCCCCUAAUCGGGGUUGCGGACAGUGUCUGGUGGGUAGUUUGACUGGGGCGGUCUCCUCCCAAAGAGUAACGGAGGAGCACGAAGGUUAGCUAAUCCUGGUCGGACAUCAGGAGGUUAGUGCAAAGGCAUAAGCUAGCUUGACUGCGAGAGUGACGGCUCGAGCAGGUGCGAAAGCAGGUCUUAGUGAUCCGGUGGUUCUGAAUGGAAGGGCCAUCGCUCAACGGAUAAAAGGUACUCCGGGGAUAACAGGCUGAUACCGCCCAAGAGUUCAUAUCGACGGCGGUGUUUGGCACCUCGAUGUCGGCUCAUCACAUCCUGGGGCUGAAGUAGGUCCCAAGGGUAUGGCUGUUCGCCAUUUAAAGUGGUACGCGAGCUGGGUUUAGAACGUCGUGAGACAGUUCGGUCCCUAUCUGCCGUGGGCGCUGGAGAAUUGAGGGGGGCUGCUCCUAGUACGAGAGGACCGGAGUGGACGCAUCACUGGUGUUCGGGUUGUCAUGCCAAUGGCACUGCCCGGUAGCUAAAUGCGGAAAAGAUAAGUGCUGAAAGCAUCUAAGCACGAAACUUGCCCCGAGAUGAGUUCUCCCUGAGACUUUAAGUCUCCUGAAGGAACGUUGAAGACGACGACGUUGAUAGGUCGGGUGUGUAAGUGUAGCGAUACAUUGAGCUAACCGAUACUAAUGAACCGUGAGGCUUAACCUU